ACCUAAUGAUGUGGCCAUUCUCGGAGCAGGUCCCUAAAAUGCUCCCAAGUUUUGAAAAAGAGUUCCCCAUCCAUUUGUGAGAAACUUGUGAUGGCUCUCCGAAUUUGGUU